AUCGCUUCUCGGCCUUUUGGCUAAGAUGAAGUGUAGUAUCUGUUCUUAUCAGUUUAGGCGAGAAGCAAAGAAAGAUGGCGACGGCGUCGGCCAGUUUUUCCGAGAGAGAUGCAAGAAUAUCUGGAACAAGAAAUACUUUGAGAUUUGAGCUACUGGAGAAAGACAUUCAACUUCACGACAGAAUAACCUUU